rnacentral:rRNA from 1 species
GACGAACGCUGGCGGCGUGCUUAACACAUGCAAGUCGUACGGUAAGGCCCUUUCGGGGGUACACGCGUGGCGGACGGGUGGGUAACACGUGAGUAACCUGCCCACAACUUUGGGUUAGAGCAAUGAAACUGAUUCUGAUACUUACCAUGUGCUCCUGCCGCAUGGUGGGGGUUGGAAGGCUACGGUGGGUGGGGGUGGACUCGCGGCCUAUUAGCUUGUUGGUGGGGUAGGUGCCUACCAAGGCGGCGUCGGGUGGCCGGCCUGCGGGGGUGGCCGGCCACAUUGGGACUGGGGUACGGGCCAGACUUCUACGGGAGGGAGCAGUGGGGAAUAUUGCAAAAUGGGCGCAAGCCUGAUGCAGCAACGCCGCGUGCGGGAUGACGGGCUUCGGGUUGGAAACCGCGUUCAGCAGGUACGAAGCUGUUUGUGACGGUAACUGCUGAAGAAGCACCGGCUAACUACGUG